AGGCAUGAGCCGUGGUGUCUGGCCCUAAUGUGAGUGAUCUUUAACACUGAGCACUUGAAAAAGAAAACCCCGAAGAAACCUAAUUCUUUGAUGUCUGGACGACAAGGAAGAAGAUAGAAAUGGCAACAGAUAAUAAACAGCGUAAAUGUUUAUCAGAAAGGGGCUGGUGGUCGGGACAAGUAGAAGGAUCGCUUGAGUCCAGGAGUGCAUCUCUACAAAAAAGUUAAAGGAUUUUUUAACAUUGGCCAGGCGUGGUGGCACACAUCUGUGAUCCCAGCUACUUGGGAGGCUGAGGCAGGAGGAUUGCUUGAAGCCCAGGAGGUUGAGGCUGCAGUGAGCUGUGAUCGAGCCACUGCACUCCAGCCUGGGUGACACAGCAAAAUCCGGUCUACAAAAAAAAAAUAAUAAUAUUUUACAUAACUAACCACUUCUAAAGAUUAAAAAAAACCCCUAUGAUUAAAAACCUCAGGUCCCUCAGGCAAUCAUACCAGAUAUCGAAACAAAGCAAUAACAUAAGGACUGCAGUAUUUAUUUUUAUAUUAUUUAUUUAUUCUUUGUUAGUUUGUUUUUGGGGUGUGGGUUUUGUUUUUUGAUUUUUUUAUUUUGUUCUACUCAGUUUUAUUCUUAUUGCUCAGGCUUGAGUGCAACGGCCUCUUCUCAGCUGACGCAACCUCCGCCUCUUGGGUUCGGGUGAUGAUGGUUCCACCUCAGCAGCCCUCCGCCUCUUGGGUUUGGGUGAUGAUGGUUCCACCUCAGCGGCCCUCCGCCUCUUGGGUUCGGGAGGUGGUUCCAUCUCAGCCACCCUCCACCUCUUGGGUUUGGGUGGUUUUUCUGCCUCAGCCUCCUGAGUAGCUAAGGGAGGUGUCUUGAGAUUAUCAUCUGCAGAGUGGCGCUGAGGGUGGAAGGGGAUGGAGCAGACACUCGGCAGGUGUCUUGAGAUUAUCAUCCACUGAGGGUGGAGCUGAGGGUGGAAGGGGAGUGAGCAGCCACUCGGGAGGUGUCUUGAGAUUAUCAUCCGCUGAGGGUGGAAGGGGAGUGAGCAGACACUCGGCAGGUGUCUUGAGGCUCAGGGAGUUAUGAGUUAUAGAAUGUUGAUCAGUUAUAGAAUGUUGUUGAGUUGGAGGAGGUGGCUGGUGGCCCAUCCUGUUUUUUAAAGUUUCAGCUGUGAGGUAGGGCCGGUAGGGCAAUCCUGAAGAGUGACGAUGCUCCGCUGCUGCCAUUCUGACCUGUAGGGCCAAAGGAGGGAAUGUUUUCACACAUAUUCAUUUGAUGGACAAAAUUACCGCCACCAACACAGUCUGCACCUUCUGUUGCUGGUGAUAGAUUUUUGCACCUUUCCAUCCUCCAGGUUUCAAAAUAGCAGUAUCAGUGUCAUAAUAUCACCCUUCCACUGAGUACUGCCGACAGCUGGGGGGUAAAGAAAAGUCAUUGGGACACACUGUUGUCUCCACAUGCCACUGUGUCUGUCUGCAAAUGUAGGCAGGCUGGGGUCCUGCCCCAGGGAAGACAGAGUCAUAACAGAGUAAUAAAGAAGCAUGUUUGAGACACAGGAGUGUCUAUGUCUAUCCUCAUUCCUCCCUCACAGCCAUCACCAGAGCAUGUUUCUUGCACCAGGUCAACAGACAGUAAGAGAGGUAUGAAAAGCCCAUUGUCCACACAUGUUGCAGGUUCUUAUUGGANAAUGUUUCCAGGUCCU
rnacentral:lncRNA from 1 species